rnacentral:rRNA from 1 species
AUUGAACGCUGGCGGCAUGCCUUACACAUGCAAGUCGAACGGUAACAGGUUCCGGUUUUUUUAGCUGACGAGUGGCGAACGGGUGAGUAAUACAGUCGGAACGUGCCCGAUCGUGGGGGAUAACGGAGCGAAAGCUUUGCUAAUACCGCAUACGAUCUACGGAUGAAAGCAGGGGACCGCAAGGCCUUGCGCGGACGGAGCGGCCGAUGGCAGAUUAGGUAGUUGGUGGGAUAAAAGCUUACCAAGCCGACGAUCUGUAGCUGGUCUGAGAGGACGACCAGCCACACUGGGACUGAGACACGGCCCAGACUCCUACGGGAGGCAGCAGUGGGGAAUUUUGGACAAUGGGCGCAAGCCUGAUCCAGCCAUGCCGCGUGCAGGAUGAAGGCCUUCGGGUUGUAAACUGCUUUUGUACGGAACGAAAAGACUCUUUCUAAUAAAGAGGGUCCAUGACGGUACCGUAAGAAUAAGCACCGGCUAACUACGUG